UACAGAGGUCUCAAGCGUUGUUCGGAUUCAUUGGGCGUAAAGGGUGUGUAGGUGGCGCCGUAAGUCGGGUGUGAAAUUUCGGAGCUUAACUCCGAAACUGCAUUCGAUACUGCGGUGCUUGAGGACUGGGAGAGGAGACUGGAAUUCAUGGUGUAGCAGUGAAAUGCGUAGAGAUCAUGAGGAAGACCAGUGGCGAAGGCGGGUCUCUGGACAGUUCCUGACACUGAGAGCACGAAGGCCAGGGGAGCAAACGGG
rnacentral:rRNA from 1 species